AUGCAUAUUUAACUAUCAAUAAUUACAUGGCCUUCAGGUUAUUAUUAAAGAACAAUCUCCCGGAGAGGAGGACUUACAAGGCUAAAUGAGGCCUAAAACAUUUCUUUGAGUACAGAGCAGAGAAGAAGAGCAGGAAAAGCCCAGGUUACUCACGGUUCUUUUCACCUCUCCACCUUGACCCCGCUCUCAUUCUAGGCGAGAUGUCCACAGCAGCAGUGACUCCUACCAGCCACAGCAGCAGCAGCAGUGACAGCACAGCCAUACCAGAGAAAAGCGCCAUCCAGUGUGCAGACUCCUGCCCUUGCAAGCUACUGCCAGAAGACCAUUCAGACAAAGAUCACACUUCCUUUAUAAGCUGCCUGUACUCACAGUAUGAGGCUAAAUCCAGAAGAAAAAAAAAGGCACAAAAUCAAGUCACACUAUUUCUCAGCUGCACCAGAGCAUCCAUUCCAAUUCUGGGAAAACAUGGUCACCCUCAACAAAGAAGUCUUGGUAUGUAAGAAAACUGCCAUACAAGUUCCUGCAUCCGCCAUAUCAGAGCCACAUUCUUUGAGCUCCAACCACCACAGCUUUUCAGAUUACUGUGAUAUUAAAAAUUUGACAUUCAAAUUCAAUCUAUACAGAUCCUCAGUAAACACCUCAAUUUAAAAAAAGGGUGUAUUAUAGAAGGAUUUAUUGAGAUAGAUUCCUCUUCCUAAAAGCAUAAGUUCAAUGCUGUACACACAUACUUUCAAAAAGUCUGUUUUCUUUCCAAAAAAUAAAAAAAUAAAAAAAAAUAAAAAAAAAUUAAACAGCAUCAAGAAGUAUCAACCCCACUCUUCCCCCUAAAAAGCCCAAAACCUAAACACGUAUCAGCACCU
rnacentral:lncRNA from 7 species